rnacentral:lncRNA from 7 species
CCCAUUUAACCCAAAAAUCACGGCAUUUCUCUUGGAAUCCCCUUAUUCCCGAAAAUCACGCAUUUUCUCUUGGAAAAUCACCCUUUAACUUGAAAAUCACGCUUUUUCUCUUGAAAUCCCCCAUUUUAACCCCCAAAAUCAAACAUUUUCGCUACGAGAAUCCUCAUUACCCACAAAAAUCAUGCAUUUCCUCUACAACAAUCUCACAUGUAAACGAAAGUCAUGCAUUUUCUCUUCAAAAAACCCCCAUUUAACCCGAAAAAACGCCAUUUCUCUUCAGAAAUCCCCCCACAUUUAACCCGAAAAGAUGCAAUUUCUCUACAAGAAUCCCUGAUCUAACCCAAAGUCACGCAUUUUCUCUUCAAAAAUCCCCCGUUUAAUCCAAAAAACCAUGCAUUUUCUCUUGGGGAAAAUACACAAUCAAAAAUCACCACUUUUCUCUAAACAAAAAAAAAAAAAAAAAAAAACCAUUCAACCCAGAAAUCACGCAUUUUAUCUGGAGUAUCCCCGCCUUUAACCUGAAAGCCAAGCAUUUUACUCUGGAAAAUCCCCAUUAACCGAAAAUCAUGCCUUUUCCCUUGGAAAAUCUCCCAUUUAACCCGAAAAUCGUGCCUUUUUCUUCAAAAUCCCCCAUUUAACCCCAAAUCAUGCUUUCGCUCUACAAAAAUCCCCUGUUUAUCUCAAACAACAUGCAUUUUCGCUUCCAAAAUCCCCCAUUUAACCCCAAAUCACGCAUAUUCACUUGGAAAAAUCCCGCAUUUACCCCCCAAAUCAUGCAUUUUCUCUUUGAGAAUCCCCCAUUUAACCUGAUGAAAACACAAUUUCUCUCGGAAAUCCCCAUUAACCGAAAUAUACACUUCUCUUAAAAAUACCCAUUAACCCCAAAAUCACCAUUUCUCUUCGAGAAUCCCCAUAAUCCCGAAAAUCACGCAUUUUCUCUUGGAAAAUCACCCUUUAACUUGAAAUCACUCAUUUUCUCUUAAAAAUCCCUCAUUUCACCCCAAAUCAAACGCUUUCGCUACAAGAAUCCCCCAUUUACCUGAAAAUCACGCAUUUCCUCGACAAAAGCUCACAUGUCAACCAAAAUCACACAUUUCUCUUCGAAAAUCCACCAUUUAACCAGAAAGUCGUGCACUUUCUCUUGGAAAAUCCCCCAUUUAACCCCCAAAUCAAACAUUUUCGCUACGAGAAUCCCUCAUUUUACCCAAAAAUCAUCAUUUCCUCUACAACAAUCUCACAUGUAAACGAAAAUCAUGCAUUUUCUCUUCAAAAAACCCCAUUUAACCCGAAAAAACGCCAUUUCUCUUCAGAAAUCCCCCCACAUUUAACCCGAAAACGAUGCAAUUUCUCUACAAGAAUCCCUGAUCUAACCCGAAAGUCACGCAUUUCUCUUCAAAAAUCCCCCGUUAAUCCAAAAACCAUGCAUUUUCUCUUGGAAAAUACACAAUCAAAAAUCACCACUUUUCUCUAAACGAAAAAAAAAAAAAAAACAUUCAACCCAGAAAUCACGCAUUUUAUCUGGAGUAUCCCCGCUUUACCUGAAGCCAGCAUUUUUACUCUGGAAAAUCCCCCAUUUAACCGAAAUCAUGCCUUUUCCCUUGGAAAAAUCUCCCAUUUAACCCGAAAAUCGUGCCUUUUUUCUUCAAAAAUCCCCCAUUAACCCCCAAAUCAUGCUUUCCUCUACAAAAAUCCCUGUUUAUCUCAAACAACAUGCAUUUUCGCUUCCAAAAUCCCCCAUUUAACCCCAAAUCACGCAUAUUCACUUGGAAAAUCCCGCAUUUACCCCCCAAAUCAUGCAUUUUCUCUUGAGAAUCCCCCAUUUAACCUGAUGAAAACACAAUUUCUCUCGGAAAUCCCCCAUUAACCCGAAAAUCAUGCACUUUCUCUUGGAAAAAAUACCCCAUUUAACCCCAAAAUCACGCAUUUUCUCUUCGAGAAUCCCCCAUUAAUCCCGAAAAUCACGCAUUUUCUCUUGGAAAAUCACCUUUAACUGAAAAUCACCAUUUUCUCUUAAAAAUCCCCCAUUUCACCCAAAUCAAACGCUUUCGCUACAAGAAUCCCCCAUUUAACCUGAAAAUCACUCAUUUCCUCGACAAAAAAGCUCACAUGUCAAACCCAAAAAUCACACAUUUU